CCAUGCACACAUCCACCAGCGGGUAACGAUCGUCGCGGACGCCGCUCUUCGCCGUCUUCUUGAACACCCAGGCGCGGUGUUGGCUCAUCAGCACAGCGGGAAUUGACAGGGAGAUGCCGCGCCCGUUGAAAACGUCGCGCAUCGUCACAUCGCCGAGGACACCUUGCAGCGCAUCGCGAAGUGCUUUGUCGCCCUCGCGCACGAACCGGCUGCCCUGCGUGGCGCGAUAACCGGCGAUCCGGUGGGGGAAGAUCUUCGGCCCAUGCUCGCGGUAAAGUGCCACCACCUCG
rnacentral:misc_RNA from 1 species